rnacentral:rRNA from 1 species
GCACGCGAAAGGGGGCAACCCCGAGUAGAGUGGCGGACGGUGCGUAACGCGUAGGAAUAUACCUGGUAGUGGGGGACAACCCGGCGAAAGCCGGGCUAAUACCGCAUACGAUCUACGGAUGAAAGCAGGGGACCGCAAGGCCUUGCGCUAUCAGAUUAGCCUGCGUCGGAUUAGCUAGUUGGUGAGGUAAAGGCUCACCAAGGCAACGAUCCGUAGCUGGUUUGAGAGAACGACCAGCCACACUGGGACUGAGACACGGCCCAGACUCCUACGGGAGGCAGCAGUGGGGAAUAUUGGACAAUGGGGGCAACCCUGAUCCAGCAAUGCCGCGUGUGUGAAGAAGGCCUUCGGGUUGUAAAGCACUUUCGAUGGGGAAAAACAAGUCAGACCUAACACGUCUGGCCCUGAUGGUACCCAGAGAAGAAGCACCGGCUAACUCUGUGCCAGCAGCCGCGGUAAUACAGAGGGUGCAAGCGUUAAUCGGAAUUACUGGGCGUAAAGGGUGCGUAGGUGGUUUGUUAAGUCAGGCGUGAAAUCCCUGGGCUCAACCUGGGAACUGCGUUUGAUACUGGCAGACUCGAGUCUGGUAGAGGGUAGUGGAAUUCCGCAUGUAGCGGUGAAAUGCGUAGAUAUGCGGAGGAACAUCAGUGGCGAAGGCGGCUACCUGGACCAAGACUGACACUGAGGCACGAAAGCGUGGGGAUCAAACAGGAUUAGAUACCCUGGUAGUC